UGGGGAAUAUUGGACAAUGGGCGAAAGCCUGAUCCAGCCAUGCCGCGUGUGUGAAGAAGGUCUUCGGAUUGUAAAGCACUUUAAGUUGGGAGGAAGGGCAUUAACCUAAUACGUUAGUGUUUUGACGUUACCGACAGAAUAAGCACCGGCUAACUCUGUGCCAUCAGCCGCGGUAAUACAGAGGGUGCAAGCGUUAAUCGGAAUUACUGGGCGUAAAGCGCGCGUAGGUGGUUUUGUAAGUUGGAUGUGAAAUCCCCGGGCUCAACCUGGGAACUGCAUUCAAAACUGACUGACUAGAGUAUGGUAGAGGGUGGUGGAAUUUCCUGUGUAGCGGUGAAAUGCGUAGAUAUAGGAAGGAACACCAGUGGCGAAGGCGACCACCUGGACUAAUACUGACACUGAGGUGCGAAAGCGUGGGGAGCAAACA
rnacentral:rRNA from 1 species